UACGUAGGGGGCAAGCGUUGUCCGGAAUCAUUGGGCGUAAAGCGCGUGUAGGCGACUCGAUAAGUCUGCUGUGAAAGUCCAGGGCUCAACCCUGGGAUGCCGGUGGAUACUGUCGAGCUCGAGUCCGGAAGAGGCGAGUGGAAUUCCUGGUGUAGCGGUGAAAUGCGCAGAUAUCAGGAGGAACACCAAUGGCGAAGGCAGCUCGCUGGGACGUGACUGACGCUGAGACGCGAAAGCGUGGGGAGCAAACAGG
rnacentral:rRNA from 1 species